AUUGAACGCUGGCGGCAGGCCUAACACAUGCAAGUCGAACGGUAACAGGAAGAAGCUUGCUUCUUUGCUGACGAGUGGCGGACGGGUGAGUAAUGUCUGGGAAACUGCCUGAUGGAGGGGGAUAACUACUGGAAACGGUAGCUAAUACCGCAUAACGUCGCAAGACCAAGGAGGGGGACCUUCGGGCCUCUUGCCAUCGGAUGUGCCCAGAUGGGAUUAGCUAGUAGGUGGGGUAACGGCUCACCUAGGCGACGAUCCCUAGCUGGUCUGAGAGGAUGAACAGCCACACUGGAACUGAGACACGGUCCAGACUCCUACGGGAGGCAGCAGUGGGGAAUAUUGGACAAUGGGCGCAAGCCUGAUGCAGCCAUGCCGCGUGUAUGAAGAAGGCCUUCGGGUUGUAAAGUACUUUCAGCGGGGAGGAAGGGAGGAAAGUUAAUACCUUUGCUCAUUGACGUUACCCGCAGAAGAAGCACCGGCUAACUCCGUG
rnacentral:rRNA from 1 species